UUAUUUUUUUUUAUGUCAGAACUAAUGAAAUGAACUUAAAAUUCAUAAAUAAUAAAUA
rnacentral:tRNA from 1 species